UACACUGAUUGUUGUUGUUGUUGCCAUUAAUCAUUAUUGCUCAAUGGGUUGUUUUUUAUGCCCAAUGUAUGUUGGUUUGCCUGCAUGCAAUGCUUCCAUCUUUUUGUGUAUCUAUGGGUAUGAAUCCUUGGCCUAGUUUCAAGAAUAGAUGUUUGAAGCAUUGGGGAAACAUUUCUUUUGGAGAAGAUUAAAAAACUUGCUAAGAAUAUUUCAAUGACACAACUACACCAAGGGCAUGUAAACUGGACUGCAAUUUUGACAUCCCUACUGAUUUUGUCGCAGUCAGAUGCACUGUUAAUUUUGCUGAAAAAUCUACAGACUUUUGGGCUUAAUGCAAUGUUGAGUCUGCAGGAAGUUGGCAUGUUGUCAACUUAGUUUGUGGGUUACAUACUUCUUCAAAUUAGAUUGUGGGUUUCUUAGGGGCAUGUUAUUCAACUCAUCCUUGUUGGGAUUAAAGCAUACUUCUGCAAAUUAUAUUUGUGGGUUAUUUACCUUCUUUUUUUUUUUUU